rnacentral:lncRNA from 1 species
UGCUUCUCCAGAUGAUCUGUGAUGGAGAACGUUCUGAGGCACUUACAUUUAGAGAGACUGGACUGGAACAGAAAGGUUAAAGAAUGUUUGAUGCAGUAUGGAUACAGAAGAGCACACCUGUUCCUUUCUUCAUCAGUUUUCUAGGCAGCUGAGCCUUCUUGCACACUACAGCUGUUUGUUGUCAGGGGCAGCCACAGACUCCAGCUGAAGCUCAUUUGCCCUCUGCACCAUGGGAAACUAGCAGCCAAGUGAACUCCAUUUAUCACUCCAUCCCUUUUAAGAAAGAAAUCUAUUUCCCUCUAGAGCUAGUAAAAUCUAAAAUCAAAGUUCUCUAUGGAUAGACUUCAGGCUGAAUUCUCAACUCAUGCGAUUAACUUUGUUGAACCUACAGCAACUGCACUAGUAAUGCUCUUGUAUCCUGACAAGGCCUUUAGCAGCUCCAUCUGACCAUUUCCAUGCUACUUUUCCUGCAGUUCUCUGAAAAAUCUGACCUCAAGAAUUACCUCUGCAACCAUUUGAUUUGUGCACAUUUGUAUUACCUUAUGAAACCCAAAGAAGAAAAUAUCAUUUAGAAAAGGAAUCACUGGAUGUGGGAAGAAAGG